rnacentral:rRNA from 1 species
ACAUCUAAGUACCCCGAGGAAAAGAAAUCAACCGAGAUUCCCCCAGUAGCGGCGAGCGAACGGGGAGCAGCCCAGAGCCUGAAUCAGUGUGUGUGUUAGUGGAAGCGUCUGGAAAGGCGUGCGAUACAGGGUGACAGCCCCGUACACAAAAAUGCACAUAUUGUGAGCUCGAUGAGUAGGGCGGGACACGUGGUAUCCUGUCUGAAUAUGGGGGGACCAUCCUCCAAGGCUAAAUACUCCUGACUGACCGAUAGUGAACCAGUACCGUGAGGGAAAGGCGAAAAGAACCCCGGCGAGGGGAGUGAAAAAGAACCUGAAACCGUGUACGUACAAGCAGUGGGAGCACAGAGCAAUCUGUGUGACUGCGUACCUUUUGUAUAAUGGGUCAGCGACUUAUAUUCUGUAGCAAGGUUAACCGAAUAGGGGAGCCGAAGGGAAACCGAGUCUUAACUGGGCGUUAAGUUGCAGGGUAUAGACCCGAAACCCGGUGAUCUAGCCAUGGGCAGGUUGAAGGUUGGGUAACACUAACUGGAGGACCGAACCGACUAAUGUUGAAAAAUUAGCGGAUGACUUGUGGCUGGGGGUGAAAGGCCAAUCAAACCGGGAGAUAGCUGGUUCUCCCCGAAAGCUAUUUAGGUAGCGCCUCGUGAAUUCAUCUCCGGGGGUAGAGCACUGUUUCGGCAAGGGGGUCAUCCCGACUUACCAACCCGAUGCAAACUGCGAAUACCGGAGAAUGUUAUCACGGGAGACACACGGCGGGUGCUAACGUCCGUCGUGAAGAGGGAAACAACCCAGACCGCCAGCUAAGGUCCCAAAGUCAUGGUUAAGUGGGAAACGAUGUGGGAAGGCCCAGACAGCCAGGAUGUUGGCUUAGAAGCAGCCAUCAUUUAAAGAAAGCGUAAUAGCUCACUGGUCGAGUCGGCCUGCGCGGAAGAUGUAACGGGGCUAAACCAUGCACCGAAGCUGCGGCAGCGACGCUGAUGCGUUGUUGGGUAGGGGAGCGUUCUGUAAGCCUGCGAAGGUGUGCUGUGAGGCAUGCUGGAGGUAUCAGAAGUGCGAAUGCUGACAUAAGUAACGAUAAAGCGGGUGAAAAGCCCGCUCGCCGGAAGACCAAGGGUUCCUGUCCAACGUUAAUCGGGGCAGGGUGAGUCGACCCCUAAGGCGAGGCCGAAAGGCGUAGUCGAUGGGAAACAGGUUAAUAUUCCUGUACUUGGUGUUACUGCGAAGGGGGGACGGAGAAGGCUAUGUUGGCCGGGCGACGGUUGUCCCGGUUUAAGCGUGUAGGCUGGUUUUCCAGGCAAAUCCGGAAAAUCAAGGCUGAGGCGUGAUGACGAGGCACUACGGUGCUGAAGCAACAAAUGCCCUGCUUCCAGGAAAAGCCUCUAAGCAUCAGGUAACAUCAAAUCGUACCCCAAACCGACACAGGUGGUCAGGUAGAGAAUACCAAGGCGCUUGAGAGAACUCGGGUGAAGGAACUAGGCAAAAUGGUGCCGUAACUUCGGGAGAAGGCACGCUGAUAUGUAGGUGAAGUCCCUCGCGGAUGGAGCUGAAAUCAGUCGAAGAUACCAGCUGGCUGCAACUGUUUAUUAAAAACACAGCACUGUGCAAACACGAAAGUGGACGUAUACGGUGUGACGCCUGCCCGGUGCCGGAAGGUUAAUUGAUGGGGUUAGCGCAAGCGAAGCUCUUGAUCGAAGCCCCGGUAAACGGCGGCCGUAACUAUAACGGUCCUAAGGUAGCGAAAUUCCUUGUCGGGUAAGUUCCGACCUGCACGAAUGGCGUAAUGAUGGCCAGGCUGUCUCCACCCGAGACUCAGUGAAAUUGAACUCGCUGUGAAGAUGCAGUGUACCCGCGGCAAGACGGAAAGACCCCGUGAACCUUUACUAUAGCUUGACACUGAACAUUGAGCCUUGAUGUGUAGGAUAGGUGGGAGGCUUUGAAGUGUGGACGCCAGUCUGCAUGGAGCCGACCUUGAAAUACCACCCUUUAAUGUUUGAUGUUCUAACGUUGACCCGUAAUCCGGGUUGCGGACAGUGUCUGGUGGGUAGUUUGACUGGGGCGGUCUCCUCCUAAAGAGUAACGGAGGAGCACGAAGGUUGGCUAAUCCUGGUCGGACAUCAGGAGGUUAGUGCAAUGGCAUAAGCCAGCUUGACUGCGAGCGUGACGGCGCGAGCAGGUGCGAAAGCAGGUCAUAGUGAUCCGGUGGUUCUGAAUGGAAGGGCCAUCGCUCAACGGAUAAAAGGUACUCCGGGGAUAACAGGCUGAUACCGCCCAAGAGUUCAUAUCGACGGCGGUGUUUGGCACCUCGAUGUCGGCUCAUCACAUCCUGGGGCUGAAGUAGGUCCCAAGGGUAUGGCUGUUCGCCAUUUAAAGUGGUACGCGAGCUGGGUUUAGAACGUCGUGAGACAGUUCGGUCCCUAUCUGCCGUGGGCGCUGGAGAACUGAGGGGGGCUGCUCCUAGUACGAGAGGACCGGAGUGGACGCAUCACUGGUGUUCGGGUUGUCAUGCCAAUGGCACUGCCCGGUAGCUAAAUGCGGAAGAGAUAAGUGCUGAAAGCAUCUAAGCACGAAACUUGCCCCGAGAUGAGUUCUCCCUGACUCCUUGAGAGUCCUGAAGGAACGUUGAAGACGACGACGUUGAUAGGCCGGAUGUGUAAGCGCAGCGAUGCGUUGAGCUAACCGGUACUAAUGAACCGUGAGGCUUAACCUU